ACCAUUAACAGGGGUAACCUGCCCUGAGGUAUAAAAGCUGCAAGCAAGGAAUGGCAAAUAUUAUGAAAAAAAAGUUGCAUAGAACAUAUACAAAAAAAAUUGGCAAUUGCCCCAUAUUUAUUAUCCAUAACAAACAUGAUAUCAGCACAAACUAAUAUUGGUCCAAUGGAACCAGACUUGGUUUGGGAUUCAGAAACCAUAUGGUGAUUAGUUAAUCCACUUACGCAGUGCCGCCAGCCCUUACCACAGUAAAAAAAAUUGCAGGAUUACAGCCAAAGGGCAGUCAACAGAGAUGUCCAAGGAUAAGGCACCUAGAUGUGCGCUGAUGUGAUGUCAAGCACACAUUUACUAAAAUGCAGAUAAAUAAAACACAUUACACAAUGCUUUCAAUUUGUUAAUAAUAAUUGAAUGCACAAGCAUCCAGAACACAAUAAAACAUCAAUGCAACCAAGAAAAAAACUAAUAAGUUUAAUUAAAAUAAUUCAUGCUGACGAGAGAAAAGUAAAUAGCAUCUGCCUCUAGGCAUGGUUGAACACAAACACAAGAUUACUGACAGCUAGCCCCAAAUUCUAAUCUCCAAUUUACUCCAAGAAAAAGCUAGCAGCAAUCUUCAUCAGGGUUACAUACAAGAUGACCUUCCAAUUGUAUAGUGAUAGUGAUGUUUAUAGAGUAAAUUCCAUGCAAUGUUACAUAUAACCACACAGUUAAAAACAAAACAGAAAGGCACCUGAAUGGGGUGGUAGUUCGGGUUGUUAGGUCGUGUUCGUGUCGACACGACACAAACACGAACACGACGCGAUUAAUAAAUCGUGUCAAAAAUCGAAAUACGAACACGAUUUUUUUAUUAUAUGGGUUAUGCGACACGAUUAAUGUUAAAUCAUGUUGGGUUAAUUUGACACGACAUGACCCAUUUAAUACAAUUUGAUAUCAAUCAACCUAUUUAACACGAUUUGACAUGACUCAACUUAUUUAACACAAUUUGACACUAUUUAAUAUUUUUAAUUUUUAUAAAAUAAUGUAUUACAUGAAAUUUAUGCAUAUUAACAUGCAAAAAUUUAAUAAUAUAUAAAAAUAAAAAACAUAAAUCAAGCAAAUGAUAUUUUUAAUAUUUAGCUAAUCAACAUUUUAACUAAAAAAUUAAAAAUAACAAUUAUUAAGCAAUAUUUUUUAACUUAUUAUAUAAAUUCACAAAUUAAAUUAGUUUUAAUAAAAAGAAAACAAAUUAGUUAUUGUAACGCAAUUCUAAUGCAAUAAAUAAUUAGACUUAUAUUUAUUAAUUCAUUACUUUUAAUAAUGUCAUUUGCGAGUUAACAGGUUAAAUGGGUUGCCAAGUUAAAACGGGUUGGCGGGUGGUUAAAACGGGUUGGUGGGUUAUGGAUCGACAUGUGACACAAAUAAUAAAGCGUAUCAUAAAUAUUUCAAGUCAGAUUGACAUGAUUUCAACACAAACAUGAAUGCGCUCAAACCAACCCUCUAUUUUCGGUCGUGUUCAUGGGUUGUCUCUAACCUAUGUGCCCCUUAAGGAUAAAGCCUCAAUGAGACCAUGUAAUUUUACCUUUGUACAUGACCAAAACCAAAAAAGCAACAGCGAGGAGAGAGGCAUAGUAAAAACUACAAAAGUAGGAAAAAGAAAAGCAAAAGCAAUGUAAGAAUAUGGAAUUAUGGUAUUUUCUCAAAAUCCUUAGAAAGUUUGCACAUUGGGGUAUAUUAUAGUCCUUCGCAGAGGGUACAAAAACCUCCCAUGGUUUGCCUAUUAUCAAGAUACAAGCAAGGAACACCGACAUUGCUUAUGUGAGAAAUAUGGUGUGCAAGUUAGGUUAAAAAUGGCAAUUAUUUUUAAGUGCCAACCUGAAAUCAUCCUGCAAGUAGUCAACAGAGGACACAGAAACUUGGAAAUUAGGUUGAAUUAUAAUCCCUGAUGACUAAGCAAAUUCUUUACAAAAUGUUGGUCAGGAAAAUUUUGAGAAAAAGAGAAAUUUUUAUUCCUUGCACAGAGCAAAACUAGAUGCUGGAAGUUUAAAUGCAAUGGAAGACCCAAGGAUCAUCUCACAAGGAAUGGCACAUACACACAAUCAGACAUGCACAGAGAAGAGGGGAGGAAAUACAGCAAGGAGGAGAAGAAACUUUCAAUGAUUGAUUCUUCAGCUUCACCUAGUCAAAGACAAGAAAUCCAUAAAUUUCCACCAUUUGAAAUAUGCUCAUUGAACUUUUGCAAAAAAAAAAGGCAGCUGUUACACACAAAUAACAAGAUAUGUACUUCAGAAAUUUUAGACAACAGUCAAAUUCCAUCUGAAGUUUGACUCGACUCAAACAAGUAUAACAAAAAAAUAACAUUUAUAAAAAUAUUUCAGCUGACAAUCAGAAAGG
rnacentral:misc_RNA from 1 species